GGGUCUCUCUAGGUAGACCAGGUCCAAGCCCGGGAGCUCCUGGCUAUCUAGGAAACCCAC
rnacentral:pre_miRNA from 17 species